rnacentral:rRNA from 1 species
AUUAAACGCUGGCGGCAUGCCUUACACAUGCAAGUCGAACGGCAGCACGGGGGCAACCCUGGUGGCGAGUGGCGAACGGGUGAGUAAAGCAUCGGAACGUGCCCUGGAGUGGGGGAUAACGUAGCGAAAGUUACGCUAAUACCGCAUAUUCUGUGAGCAGGAAAGCAGGGGAUCGCAAGACCUUGCGCUCUGGGAGCGGCCGAUGUCGGAUUAGCUAGUUGGUGGGGUAAAGGCCUACCAAGGCGACGAUCCGUAACGGGUCUGAGAGGAUGAUCCGCCACACUGGGACUGAGACACGGCCCAGACUCCUACGGGAGGCAGCAGUGGGGAAUUUUGGACAAUGGGCGGAAGCCUGAUCCAGCCAUGCCGCGUGAGUGAAGAAGGCCUUCGGGUUGUAACGACUUUGUCAGGGAAGAAACGACUCCGGCGUAAUACCUUGGGUAAGUGACGGUACCGUGAAGAAUAAG